AGGAAAACUCAAGUCAACUCAAAAAACUCAGAGUGAUCAACUUUCAUACUUUUCAUGAUAUUAGGAUAUAAUUAUUUGCGCCCAAAAUGUACAUCUAAAAGAUGUGUUUUCUAUGUACGCUACAAAGAUGUAUCCAAAGGGAGCGCGUGUUUAGAAUUAACUAAACUGAUUGUUUCCAACUGAACAUGUUUGUAAAUUCUAUAAAUAAUUACAAAAAUAUGAAGCGUGAUGAGUACGUUUCCUGUGUGUUACAUGAUUAGUUUUUAAUCAAACUUUGUCGUUACAGUAAAAUUAAACCAAAA